AUAAAUCCCUUAUCGAUAUAUUCAUCAGUGUCUGAGUCUUCACAUUUUUUCAACAGAUUUUCUUUUUCUUUUCUUUUUUUGUGCCUGUCCCGUUUGGAUCUUUAGCCAGAGGAAUUGUUGUCUGAAGGCCAAGAAAGAUGCCAAGCGGAUUUUCAACUGAUUUUCAAAUGGCAGAAACACAAUGAACCAAUCACACUAAGGUGUGUCAUCACUCUGGUUAAAGGACACUGCUAUGCUUUUACCUGCUAAGUAAAGGUCACCCUGACUCACUGCUCCGUCCUGUGGUACAAACAUGAAGGUACAGCCAGCCUUGUUCUAACUCUGGCUUGCAUCUCCACAUCGCAGUGCACAGAUGUUCUCGACGUGAAAAAGCUUGUGCAUGCUCGUGGAUUACCUGUUACAGAAACAACAAAUCACAACAACAGAUGCCUCAGGUGCUUUCAUAUUGUAAGACCUACAAUAACACACAGAAAACAAUGUUUUGAUAAUUAGCAUUACUGUUAGCUGUGGCAGAAACCAGGUGUUGUGGGAAUCCAUCCUACCUGACAAACCAUCAUACCCGCUGUUUCUGCGCAUGUGCACAACACGAAAUUCAUUGGCGAACUAUCCUACCUUUGUGAAUAUGAGUUAGAAACAUACUCUGAUGGGUAAAAUGAAGUGCCAAACCAUGCUACCUUUGUAAAUGUUACCUACAAGCAUACUUUAAUGGGUAAAAUGAAGUGGUAAAGUGUCAUACCUACUUAAUUUUGUGCUGGAAUUACUCUGUGACAGCAGAAAUGUGCAUAAACUAUUUACGGUAGGACGUUUUGCCAAAGUAGGAUGGUUUGUCAGAACACCGGCUCUGCGUGAACUCCAGGAGCACAGGUGACAGAUUUACUUUAGACCAACAUGUUUUUAAAUGACGACACAUUUUACAGCAGCAGAAACACAAAAACGUCACACUGACGUGUUUAACUGAACACGCCGUCUCAUUUCUCAUGUGGCGCUCUGACUCCGGCUCUGAAGAUACACUGACCCUGGUGCUUUUAUUUUUAAAGACCAGUCCUCCAAACAGGAAGUGGUUUUUCCUCAGCACAGCUGCAAAAUGCUGCUGAGAUACUUUGGUUUGACACUUUGUGUUUAUCUGUGAAUGCAAAUGCAGAACAGCUCUUCACAGCACGCAGAGCGUCUCCGGCCACAGAAAUCUGACCGAUGUCAUUUUUAAACCUGUGAGACGCUCGUCGCCCUCAUGACACACGCACAAACACCACGUCUGUGGAUUUGUCAUUUUAACGCUGACAAAAGAAAAAGUGAGUCAGAUUCAUGAAACAAACUCAGCGUCAGAAAAGUUAUUAUUUAAACAUCAACAAUGAAUAUCUGCGAAGCAUCAUCACACAAACUCACACAUAAACGCCUCCUGUGAACCUCUUUAUUUCUCUGCUUUCACUUCCUGUCAUGUCAGUGAUCGUCUGUCACACUUUCUACAAAAACAAGCCCAAAAAUUUAAUUUCUCAGUCAAAAUUUCAAAAUAAGACCCUAACAGUGUCUCUAACGACCCCCCCAUCCCCGCCUAACUCUUGUUGUGGGCGGGGCUCAGCCAGGAGAAAAACUGGGCAGAUGAGGCGGAGGUGGAGGCGGUGGAGGCAGCGAGGCGAGGGCCGUGGGUCUCCACCUGGAGGGACAGCAGGUGGAGAUGAGUGUGAGCAGUACGAGCCUCCUGAAUCCUGCAGAUUCAGAUUUCAGAUUGGCUCUCUAUGCAGACACACAGAGACGACCAAGACCUCACCUGGAAACUCAGCUGGUGUCUCAUACCUGAGAUAAACUUCCUGUUUGCUCCAAACUAUUUUAAAUCCUGUCCUGAUGUUCAAAAUGGUGACCUUUGACCUUUCUAUUUCCAAACUGACUUCCUGCUGGAUUUGUUUGUUUUUUAUUUCCUCUCGCUCUGAUGUCACGGUUACAGAAUGUUACAUUAUUGUAUUUUAAUCUGUAUAAAUGAACUUUUAAAUAAUUAUAAACAGUUUUUCUUUAUAUUAAAUAAAGUGUCCACAGAGCUUAAGCAAACUGGCCCAAAGACAUAUUUCAGAUUAUUAUUAUGAAUUCAGUUUUAGAGCAAUAUUAAUGACAGACACGUGAUGGCAGAUAAAUGUACAUAUUUAAUAAAUGUAAAUGUUUAUCAUGAAGAAUAAAUCUAUGCUUUAAUAAAGCCUGAAUAAAACACGA